AGGUUAAACAGAAAGAGCGUAGGGUGGAUGCCUUGGCACUAAGAGCCGAAGAAGGACGUGAUAAGCUGCGAAAAGCUGCGGGAAGGAGCAAAUAUCCUGAGAUCCGCAGAUCUCCGAAUGGGGAAACCCGCUGCAGGAAAGCUGCAGCGACCAUACAUGAAUCCAUAGUGUAUGGCCGGGAACCCGCUGAACUGAAACAUCUAAGUAGGCGGAGGAAAAGAAAACAAGAGUGAUUCCGUAAGUAGCGGCGAGCGAAAGCGGAACAGCCCAAACCGCGGUGCGUGCACCGCGGGGUAAGGACUGCAGGAAGCGGCAAGCUUUUUAUCAGAAGAGGACUGGAACGUUCCGCCAAAGAGGGUGAGAGCCCCGUAAGGGAAAAGGAGCGAGCUGCCGGCAGGAUCCGGAGUACCACGAGACACGAGAAACCUUGUGGGAAGGCGGGGGGACCACCCCCCAAGGCUAAAUACUACUUAGUGACCGAUAGUGCACAGUACUGUGAAGGAACGGUGAAAAGGACCCCGGGAGGGGAGUGAAAGAGAACCUGAAACCCUAUGUUUACAGGCAGUGGAAGUACGAUACAUGAACGUACGACCGCGUACUUUUUGUAGAACGGUCCGGCGAGUUGCCGGUACUGGCGAGGUUAAGGACUAAAGGUCUGAAGCCGAAGGGAAACCAAGUCUUAAUAGGGCGAUAAGUCAGUACAGGCAGACCCGAAACCGGGUGAUCUAUCCAUGUCCAGGUUGAAGUUUCCGUAAAAGGGAAUGGAGGACCGAACGCACAUCCGUUGAAAAGGGUGGCGAUGAGGUGUGGAUAGGGGAGAAAUUCCAAUCGAACCCGGAGAUAGCUGGUUCUCCUCGAAAUAGCUUUAGGGCUAGCCUCGGCUCAGUCAGACGGAGGUAGAGCACUGAAUUCCUAAGGGGACGUCAAAGUUUGCCAAGGGAUAUCAAACUGCGAAUGCCGUACUGAUGGUGGCCGGGAGUCAGACUGUACGAGAUAAGUUGGACAGUCAAAAGGGAAAGAGCCCAGACCUGCAGCUAAGGUCCCAAAAUACGUGUUAAGUGGAAAAGGAUGUGGGAUUUCGAAGACAACUAGGAUGUUGGCUCAGAAGCAGCCACACAUUCAAAGAGUGCGUAAUAGCUCACUAGUCGAGAGGUCCUGCGCCGAAAAUUUCCGGGGCUGAAACACGAUACCGAAGCUCAGGAAUGUGAAAACAUUGGUAGAGGAGCAAUCCCAGGUUGCAGAAGCGGUACCGAUAAGGAGCCGUGGAGAGCUGGGAAGAGAGAAUGCCGGAAUGAGUAGCGAGAAUGAUGUGAGAAUCAUCAUGGCCGAAUAUCCAAGGAUUCCAGGGUAAAGCUGAUCUGCCCUGGGUAAGUCGGGGCCUAAGGCAAGGACGAAAGUCGUAGUCGAUGGAGAGCUGGUGAAGAUUCCAGCACCUGAUAUGAUCAGAACUGUGGGGACACGGAAGCGAAACCGGACCCGGGAGAGCAAAGACCGGGCGAAGCGAAGUAGGAGGACGGAAGGAAAAACCGCCGUUCAAUCCGAAGGCGCGACAGGGAGCGAAGAAAAGUAGCGAAGCCGGGAGACGAAGCCGUCGAGAAAAGCCGCUAUUGUAUCAUAUCAGCCCGUACCGAAAACCGACACAGGUGGAUGAGGAGAGAAUCCUAAGGCCGGCGGGAGAAGCAUUGUUAAGGAACUCGGCAAAAUGACCCCGUAACUUCGGGAGAAGGGGUGCUGGUGAGAACCAGCCGCAGAG
rnacentral:rRNA from 1 species